UCUCUCAAAAUAAAUAAAUGAACUUGACAAAAAUAAGAUUAAGGAUCCUGGAAUGGAGACAUCCGUUGUCCUGUACCAUCGAGGUGAGCCCAGCACAAUCACAAAGGUCCUUAAGCAGGGAGGCGGCGAGAGGUGACGUGACUACUGAGGCAGAGGUCAGCAUGGCUUCUAGAAGCUGGAAAAGGCAAAGAUACGAAUUCUUCCCUAAGGGCCUCCGGAGGGAGUGUGGCCCUGCCGGUACCCCGAAUUUGGCCAGUAAAACUCGGCUCAGAUGUCAGACCUCCAAAAUGGUAAGAGAAUAAAUUGGUGUUUUAAACCGCUAACGUUCUGGUAGAUUGUUAGGGCAACAUUAGGAAGCUACCACACGGUCUGGCUCACCUGCCCGUUCCCGGAUGCAGGGCUGCGGGAGGAAGGGGUAGGCAUGGAGUCCGGGAGAGGGUGGGUCCCCAAGAGCAAACGGGAGCACCUUUACCGGAAGAAAAGGAGGGACGGGAAGGGAGAAGACACAAAGACACCAAGUCGCUGCGGGAUUCCUUUUACGUGAAGUGCGGCGAAGGAAGGCAAACUGGCAGAGGGAGAGGCGGACAGCUGGGUUAGUUCAGGGGGAAGGGCAGAUACUGACCAGGGAGGGGAACCCGGGUGUCUCUGGAAAGCAGGGAACGUUCUGGCUGGAUCCGGCGUACCUUCGAAACUGCCCAUUUUACAGAUGAGGAAACAAAGGCCCGCGUGGUCGGGCGCAGAGCACGUGUUGAGCAGCUGAACCAGACCCAAGCCGGUCGGCCAGCGCUCUGCACCCCGCUGACCCCCUUGGGUGUCCUGCUGGCCGGGAGGAGCCCAGUGUCUCCUAGUGUCCUCUCUCUGAUGUCAGUUACUCCUCUGGGACUCCGGGGAUAGGGAGUGGGUCUCCUCUCCUUUCGUGGUGUUUCUAGGCUCCUGGAGCCCGCGGGGAGCGCCCUAAGCCUGGGUUCACCUCUCUGGAUCCUGGGACCCACCUGGGGUCUCACCGGGAAUUGCUCUGGAAUCACAAGACCUCCCGGGCGAGUGGACACCAUUCUCAGCAUGCCCUUUGCCACCCGUUCUCUUUCAUGCAUCCAACAAACAUUUCCCGAGGGCCCAUGAAGCCCAGAAAUUGAGGAUACAGUGGAGAACAAGCCCGUGAAGGCGCCCGGCCUCCGUGGAGCCUCUCCGCCUGACCAGACGGAAGCCUUUGGCCAUCUCCCUGAUACUUGCCCGAAGCAGUCUGGAAAGAACAGGGCAGAGAAGACGUGUAAACAGCAGCUCAGAGAGAUGGGAGCCCAGGCCAGGGUCACUGCAGCUGGAAGGCGGGCCUGGCACUCAACGCCCACCUGCCUUGGGAUAAAAUUACAGGCCAGAGUGGGGACACUGAGGCUCAGACUGGGGCCAUUACUUAUGCAAGGAGCUGAGAUUCGAACCCAGCUCAGCCCGACCGCAAGACAGGCCAGCCGGUUUCCAAAGACUUCGCACGAAGAAAAGCUUAUAAAGUAUCUCCAUUUUUAAUUAUUAAUUACAUAUUGAAAUGAUAUUGGAGAUGUUGGAUUAAAUAGAAAUAUGAAAUCUGAGUCAAGCUCUUUUCCUUCUUUUCAUUGUAUAAACAUGGUUACGGAGCAUUUUCCGUAUUAAAUUACGUGUGUGACUUGCGUGAUAGUUGUGCUAUCUGCACCCUGACUUUGUUUAAAAAAAAGUUUUUUUUAAUUUUGUUUUUAAUAUUUAUUUUUGAGAGAGA